rnacentral:lncRNA from 1 species
UGAUGGGGAUAACUGAGCUGCAGGUUGGGACUAAAUCAGUUCAUGUCCUGAGCCUUUUGUAACUUCAAGUACCCUUCUUAUUAUCACCUGCCUUAUGGCUAGAAAUGCUUGCAUCCAUUUGGUGGUUACAGUUGUCAACCUUUUCCUUCUACUUGGCUUGUCGCUCACAAUUAGCAGAUUUAUAUAUUGUUGGUGAUGCAUAUAUUUAGCACCGCAUUGAACAUUUUUUGUGGUAGGACAGAUUGAUGGACAAUUCUUUUGAUUGUGUAGUUGUAUAUGAAGUUCCACAUACAUGAAUCUCCACUCAUCUGGUAAGAUUCCAAGAUAGGCUAACAUCAAAGCAAUUUUUGUAAAAACAAUCUUACCACCAGACUAUUAUAAAAGUAUUUUUUGCACGAGGUUGAAUAUUAAAUGUUGGGUGCUUGAUAAUUCAUCUAGCUUGAGAUCCACCACUGAUGACACGAGUCUGCUACCCUGCUCCUGUGAAGGUAACCGAAGUCCUGCGCCUCCCACCGUGAUAUCCUCUCUCUGCUUGCACCUCU